UACGAAGGGGGCUAGCGUUGCUCGGAAUCACUGGGCGUAAAGGGCGCGUAGGCGGGCUCUUAAGUCAGGGGUGAAAGCCCAGAGCUCAACUCUGGAAUUGCCUUUGAAACUAGAGAACUUGGGUACGGGAGAGGUGAGUGGAAUUCCGUGGUGUAGCGGUGAAAUGCGCAGAUAUCAGGAGGAACACCAAUGGCGAAGGCGGCUCGCUGGACCGGAACUGACGCUGAGGCGCGAAAGCGUGGGGAGCAAACAGG
rnacentral:rRNA from 1 species